rnacentral:siRNA from 1 species
UGGCUUUCAGAGUUGAUAGUAC